AACGUAGGUGGCGAGCGUUAUCCGGAUUUACUGGGCGUAAAGGGUGUGCAGGCUGCCCCCUCAAGUGGUGUAUGAAAGCACCCGGCUCAACCGGGUCAUGGUAUGCCAGACUGAAGGGCUAGAGAGCGAGAGCGGGACGUGGAAUUCCGGGUGUAGUGGUGAAAUGCGUAGAGAUCCGGAGGAACCCCCAGAGGCGAAGGCGGCGUCCUGGACCGACAUUGACGCUGAGGAGCGAAAGCUAGGGGAGCAAACGGG
rnacentral:rRNA from 1 species